rnacentral:rRNA from 1 species
AUUGAACGCUGGCGGCAUGCCUUACACAUGCAAGUCGAACGGCAGCACGGGGCAACCUGGUGGCGAGUGGCGAACGGGUGAGUAAUGCAUCGGAACGUGCCAUUGAGUGGGGGAUAACGUAGCGAAAGUUGCGCUAAUACCGCAUAUUCUGUGAGCAGGAAAGCAGGGGACCGCAAGGCCUUGCGCUCUUUGAGCGGCCGAUGUCAGAUUAGCUAGUUGGUGAGGUAACGGCUUACCAAGGCGACGAUCUGUAGCGGGUCUGAGAGGAUGAUCCGCCACACUGGAACUGAGACACGGUCCAGACUCCUACGGGAGGCAGCAGUGGGGAAUUUUGGACAAUGGGCGCAAGCCUGAUCCAGCCAUGCCGCGUGAGUGAAGAAGGCCUUCGGGUUGUUAAAGGACGUCUUUCGGUCCGGGAACGGAAAGUACGG